rnacentral:rRNA from 1 species
AAUAGAUACCCGGGUAGUCCACCCCGUAAACGUUGGGAACUAGUUGUGGGGUCCUUUCCACGGAUUCCGUGACGCAGCUAACGCAUUAAGUUCCCCGCCUGGGGAGUACGGCCGCAAGGCUAAAACUCAAAGGAAUUGACGGGGACCCGCACAAGCGGCGGAGCAUGCGGAUUAAUUCGAUGCAACGCGAAGAACCUUACCAAGGCUUGACAUACACCAGAACACCCUGGAAACAGGGGACUCUUUGGACACUGGUGAACAGGUGGUGCAUGGUUGUCGUCAGCUCGUGUCGUGAGAUGUUGGGUUAAGUCCCGCAACGAGCGCAACCCUCGUUCUAUGUUGCCAGCACGUUAUGGUGGGAACUCAUGGGAUACUGCCAAGGUCAACUCGGAGGAAGGUGGGGAUGACGUCAAAUCAUCAUGCCCCUUAUGUCUUGGGCUUCACGCAUGCUACAAUGGCCGGUACAAUGGGCUGCGAUACCGUAAGGUGGAGCGAAUCCCAAAAAGCCGGUCCCAGUUCGGAUUGAGGUCUGCAACUCGACCUC